GAUGAACGCUGGCGGCGUGCCUAAUACAUGCAAGUCGAGCGAACAGAUGAGGAGCUUGCUCUUCUGACGUUAGCGGCGGACGGGUGAGUAACACGUGGAUAACCUACCUAUUAGACUGGGAUAACUUCGUGAAACCGGAGCUAAUACCGGAUAAUAUCUUGAACCGCAUGGCUCAAUAGUGAAAGACGGUUUUGCUGUCACUUCUAGAUGGCUCCGAGCCGCAUUAGCUAGUUGGUAAGGUAACGGCUUACCAAGGCAACGAUGCGUAGCCGACCUGAGAGGGUGAUCAGCCACACUGGAACUGAGACACGGUCCAGACUCCUACGGGAGGCAGCAGUAGGGAAUAUUCCGCAAUGGGCGAAAGCCUGACGGAGCAACGCCGCGUGAGUGAUGAAGGUCUUCGGAUCGUAAAACGCUGUUAUUAGGGAAGAACAAAUGUGUAAGUAACUAUGCACGUCUUGACGGUACCUAAUCAGAAAGCCACGGCUAACUACGUG
rnacentral:rRNA from 1 species